rnacentral:rRNA from 1 species
AACGAACGCUGGCGGCAGGCCUAACACAUGCAAGUCGAGCGCGCCCUUCGGGGUGAUCGGCGGACGGGGGUGUAACGCGUGGGAACGUGCCCUUUUCUACGGAAUAGCCUCGGGAAACUGAGAGUAAUACCGUAUACGCCCUUUGGAGGAAAGAUUUAUCGGAAAAGGAUCGGCCCGCGUUGGAUUAGGUAGUUGGUGUGGUAAUGGCCUACCAAGCCGACGAUCCAUAGCUGGUUUGAGAGGAUGGUCAGCCACACUGGGACUGAGACACGGCCCAGACUCCUACGGGAGGCAGCAGUGGGGAAUCUUAGACAAUGGGGGCAACCCUGAUGUAGCCAUGCCGCGUGAGUGAUGAAGUCCUUAGGGUUGUAAAGCGCAUUCAGCUGGGAAGAUAAUGACGGUACCAGCAGAAGAAGCCCCGGCUAACUCCGUG